rnacentral:rRNA from 1 species
GACGUAGGGCGCGAGCGUUGUCCGGAUUUAUUGGGCGUAAAGAGCUCGUAGGCGGCUUGUUGCGUCGGCUGUGAAAACCCAUGGCUCAACCGUGGGCUUGCAGCCGAUACGGGCAGGCUAGAGUUCGGUAGGGGAGACUGGAAUUCCUGGUGUAGCGGUGAAAUGCGCAGAUAUCAGGAGGAACACCGGUGGCGAAGGCGGGACUCUGGGCCGAAAUUGACGCUGAGGAGCGAAAGCGUGGGGAGCAAACAGG